rnacentral:rRNA from 1 species
AUCCAGACUCCUACGGGAGGCAGCAGUGGGGGAUAUUGCACAAUGGGGGGAACCCUGAUGCAGCGACGCCGCGUGGGCGAGGAAGUAUUUCGGUAUGUAAAGCCCUAUCGGCAGGGAAGAAGAAAUGACGGUACCUGAAUAAGAAGCACCGGCUAAAUACGUGCCAGCAGCCGCGGUAAUACGUAUGGUGCAAGCGUUAUCCGGAUUUACUGGGCGUAAAGGGAGCGCAGGCGGCCUUGCAAGUCUGAUGUGAAAGGCCGGGGCCCAACCCCGGGACUGCAUUGGAAACUGCGAGGCUGGAGUGUCGGAGAGGCAGGCGGAAUUCCUAGUGUAGCGGUGAAAUGCGUAGAUAUUAGGAGGAACACCAGUGGCGAAGGCGGCCUGCUGGACGAUGACUGACGCUGAGGCUCGAAAGCGUGGGGAGCAGACAGGAUUAGAUACCCGGGUAU